ensembl:lncRNA
UAUAUAUAUUUUUUUUUACAGCGUGCUUGCUUUCACUUUCAAUGUUUUGAUAACGUCCGUUGUUGACAGCAAAUACGCGACUAUUGCAUUUGGAAACGGAUACAUUACCAUUUAAGGAAUAUAACUUCAAGUCACAUUAGAUAUUCGCGUGAUAAUAUGCAAGAAAUGCCGGAAUCACAGCCGUCUAAAUGUGAGGUGGAGCGGAAUCACGAAUGCAUGAUCCUACAACAAAGAAUAGAGACGGCUAGCAUUUGCAAUAAUAGAACAAUGAAGAUGGAGAUGGACAUAUUUAACCCUUCCCACACUACAGAGCUCCAGUUCCUCAGGUCGCGUGUUCGGGAACUGGAGAAAGAGAAGGUCGAAAUGGCAGCUGAAAACCAACGGCUACAUAACAUGCUAGUGAAGGAGAUCCCUGGCCUGCUGUCCACCAUGUGGCAGACCUUGGGCCAAGCCAACCAGCCCCCCCACCCUGCAGUGUCCCCACAUGCGGUCUCUACGGCAACAGGGAGGGGCGAGAGCUACACGUACACACACCACCACUCCGUGUCAGGACACUUUGGCCAAGGGUUCAGUUCUCCACUCCAUCAUCAGCCCAUGUCCAACCGCUCAGCUAUGACACAGGACAUGAAUGAAAGCAUGUCCAACUUUGGACCCGAGAUGGCCAUCAGUGAGCACAGUGUGGACGGAGACUUGGAGCUGAGUGACAUCACAGAGAACGACGACCUCCACAGCUCUCUGUGUGGCUCAGCAUCCAACCUACCUGUGAUGAGGACAUGCUCAGAGACACACUGUGUUAAUGGGACUGGCCAUGUUAACCAGGUGGAGGUAUACCCGGGUUCCGGUGUCUUCUGUGAAAUGCGGUCCUGGCAUGCAGCCAAUCAGACGCAGUCUCCCACGGCGAUGGCGCGCACCCUGUUGCUGGGCGUGUUCGACAUGGACACCCUGCUUAACAGCAACCUGCGAGGGGGGAGGAGCCGCAGACCAACGUUCCCCAACCACCGCACCGCCCUGGACCCACACAAGCUAAACGCCAUCUAUAAUGCCACGCUGGCCCGCUUCCCAUUGGCCAGGAAGGGGCAAAUUGGCACCGGCAUCAACUCCAAGCUGUCUGAGAUCCGGUUCCGAUCCAGGAGAGCCAACCCCAGUUAUCUAUGAAGGACUGUUCCUGCCCAAACGCCAAGUUUAUUCAAUCAACAUUUUUGUUCUAGUUUUUUUUUAUCACAUUAACUAUGUCAGUGUAUCAGUGCAUGUGCCUGCCAAAUAUCUUGCCUAUGAAUUUUUUCACAUUGGCUUUAACAUUGUCUUCAGCUAGAGAUACUGUGGAAGAGAAUGGCAAAAUUACUCAAAAGACAGCCUAAUGAUAGAGGAAGGAUUCAAGACCAGUGGAAAAAGGUACAAAAGAUCUAGCAUUGAUGGUUAUAUCCACCCUCUGUCACCAGCCAACCAUUAGCAAACCACACGGGAACAGCCCCCGGGGUAUUCUCCCUGACUGAUAGAGAUGCAUAGAUCCAGGACUGCUGACCCAUGUGUGAUCAACCAGUGGAGGAACGGAGGCUUCAGUCAUGUCUCACCAGACAGACGCCUCACUGUCGUUGACCUCUACCCACUUAGACCGAGGAGGGGGGGGUGGAGGGGGGUCCAAAUGAUAUUUCUCCAUUGAUUUCUCUGAUCCUAGGCAUUAAGCUAACUCCAAAAGCUCCAUUACCACCCCGUGGUCCCCUCCUUAACCUCUUCCUCCAUCCCUCUUCUUCCCCCUGAGAUAAGCAUCAUGCCUAAUGGACCCCAGGUACUCUGAGCCUCCGGGAGGAUGACGGCAUGAAUGAAUACAUCUUAACGGACUUAAACAGUGUGUGACUCUCCCCAAGUCCACUAUGUCCACAGGGCCCACAUGAAGAGACUAGGACAGGAGAUGUGGCUUGAUGCAGAUAUUACAUAUUGGAGAAGAUGUAACCGAUGGUAAUGAGGAACGGUCAAGUUUGUUAUUUUAUAUCCGGUCAUGUCUGACCAUUGAAUAUGGUGCAUUAAAGGACUGCAGUUUGUCAUUGUCCUUCAUAUGUUGUCUCUCUAGUCAUCUGUGGAAAGGUUAGGUAAUUAUGCAUUAACCACUCGCUUAAAAGCUACUUAGGCCGCGUUCACACAGGCAGUCCAAUUCUGAUAUUUUUUCCCAUUCAUUUUUACCAAUCACAUCAGAUAUUUUUCAGAGCUCAUCUGAUUGGUCAAAAGACUUAAUUAGUUAAAUAAAUGUAAUUGGGCUGCCUGUCUAAGCGCAGCCUUAGUUUUGGGCAGAUGCACCACAUCAAAUAGGACAUUACUCCUGAAAUAAAAUGACACAAAAAGAGGAUCAUAGGCAGUAAUUACAAUUAGCCACUUGCCAUUGAUGAAUUGAAAUAUCCACUGAAGUAGCCAUGUGACCAUUUUCAGAUGCAUUACUCUCAGGCUCUUUGGCUGUGUAUAAACAGACCAAUGUACAAACAGCCCAAUUCUGAUCUUUUUUUCACUAAUUGGUAUUUUGACCAAUCAAAUCUGCUGUGUGAACACAGCUUUUGAUCCUCAGGAGCCCCUGAGCUCAAUUCAAGUUAAAAUUGCGUCCAUUAAUUGAAAAUAGCCAAUUUAUACUUUUCAUGAGAACUUUUCAAUGAAUUAAUUGAAUAUCUCCAUCCUAAAUCCCUAACCCUGAUCCAGUACUGCAGUCCCUCCCUAGCCAUGUUCCUAACCAUUCCUUCAUCCGAGAUUACCUGUAAAGCAACUCAUGUCUUUAUUCCCAGACAACAACACUGGGUGGGGACUUAACAUCCCCUCGUGGGCAUUUGUCCUGAACCCCAUUCCACCCACUGACAGCAUGAUAACCCCUAUCCUGUUUAUUGUGGCCUUUUUAUUCUGUCUCGAUACAAAUUCAAUAAAGCUGCAUUCCAUUCAGCUCCAGGAUGUGAUGUGAACUUCUGAUAGUAAAGAUAACCUGAGCUGUCUCCAAAAUUCAUCCUUGCUUCUAAAAUGCCACAGAGUGCUAUUAAACCAGGCAUCGACUCAUUUGACCCCUCCUCCUUGGCCCAAUUAAUAAUUUAAUGACUUAUUUUGUUUUUCUUUCUCUCUGUCUGUGCAGCAGCCAGUACUCUCGCCAGUUGAGGAGAGUAGGUGGUUUCAAAAAAGAGAGAAAACAAUCAAAAUGCCCCUGACAGCGUGUCUAGUCUUGGUCCCUGGCUAUGAAAUCAAUAUGGGUUUCUGAUGUUUUCAUUUAUCUGCCGAGAAACAAGACGUGUCCACCGGUCAAAGGGCGGCCGCACAGCGAGACAGGAGACAUCAUCAAUAAUCCCUGAAUGUCAGGGAAAGGUGAAAUAAUAAGAAGGAGAGGAAAUAAUGCAGCCCCUCCUGUGAAAGAUAUAGGGAACAGACAGACCCCUUACAGUGAGAUGUUUACUGGCUAGGUUCUGAGAUGGAGACAGCACUGUAUCAGAUAGAGACAGGAAGAUACACAAUAUGAAAUUCGCUAGCACUGAAUAGGCUAUGUAGCAGGUACAGCCAGAAGAGAGCCGAGUUCCUCUCUAGGUCUCGUCCUUCUAGGGAUUUGUGAUAGCCAAUGUGCCUCUGGUUCGCUUUUGCUUGCUCUUUCGGGUUAAGGAAGGCAGAGUUAAUACUAUUAAAGUAAACCCAUAGAAUAACAUAUUGAACAUAGAAUUUUAGGAUCUCUUAACUUAAUAGAGAUCCUAUAAUUCGAUGUUCAAUACGAUAUUACAUGGGUUUACUUUAAAAGCACUUUGUGACAACUGCUGAUGUAAAUGUGUUACCGAUUCCCCUGCCUGUGAGUCUCAUCACUUCACGCAGCUCACUCCAUCCAUCCCCCGACGGUGCCAGAGAAACUAGGGGUUUCCCCAAACUGGGUCCCCAAAUUCCCAGCAACCUCUGUGACCAGGCCACUGAUAGGUUGCUAGGGUCAGGUGGUUGCUAGCGGGCGGACACCUGACAGUCCUCUUGCCUGCUCAGGUCACAGCCACCCCACUCCAAGUGGACAUGUCUGAUUUAGUGCGUGGACAGAAGUGAGUUGAUGUUACUAUUGUAACUUGUGUGUCUACUGUUUGCAGUUACAAUCUGUCUAUUGUUAGUUGUUCAUAGUAGCUGUGCUAUGUGCUAUACAGUCCUUUGCUUAUGCCACUGAUAUAUCAAUUUAUACAGACCAUAUUAUUACUGCUCUUGUGCUAUUAUAUCUGAUGACCCAUUCAUUGUCAUGCUAAGUUUAUUAUGUACAGUAUAUUCACUCAUCUCUCUUUGUACAGAACCACAUCCAUCUCAUUUUGUCCUCUGGAAAUAAAGUUCCACAUUAUGUCUGAC